UUGAUUACGUCCCUGCCCUUUGUACACACCGCCCGUCGCUGCCCGGGACUGAGCCAUUUCGAGAAACUUGGGGACCGCUGAUUUCAAACUUUCGGGUCUGCUUUUUGGUGGCAACCAAUUUAAUCGCAGUGGCUUGAACCGGGCAAAAGUCGUAACAAGGUGGUAGCUGUAGGUGAACCUGCUGCUGGAUCA
rnacentral:rRNA from 1 species